AUGGCCCGCUCGUCGGGAGACGUAGUGCGGUGGACGAAGCGCAUCUCGGCGCUGGCGAGGGGCGGGCGCGCAGCGGAGGCCGUGGCGGAGUUCUCCAGGAUGGACGCGGCGCCGAACGCGCUCACGCUGGCGAGCGUCCUCCCGGCGUGCGCCAGGCUACGGAGCCUCGUCCUGGGGCGGGCCAUCCACGGGUUCUGGCUCCGGCGAGGGGGCGGCCCCGGCGCGAACCCGAUCGUGGACAACGCCGUGCUGGACGUGUACGCCAAGUGCGGGGCGCUCCGCAGCGCGCGCCGCGUGUUCGACGGAAUGCCCGAGCGGGACGUCUUCGCCUGGACCGCGAUGGCGUGGGGGCUCGCGAGGAGCGGCAGCCCGCAGGACGCCGUCGCGAUGUUCAGGGCGAUGUUGUCCGACGGCGGCGAGGCCGCCCGCCCGAACGAGGCCACCUUGGUCAGCGUCCUGCACGCCGUGGCGUCCACCGGCGCUCUGGCAUGCGGCAAGCUGCUGCACUCGUACGCGCUGAAGCGAGGGCUCGGCGGCGAGCAGGUCGUCGCCAACGCGCUGGUCGACGCCUACGCCAAGUGCGGGGAGGCGCGGCUGGCGUUCGAGGUGUUCGACCUGCUCCCGGACAAGGACCUGGUCUCCUGGGCCACCGUCAUGAGGGCCAUGGCCGUGCACGGCCGGUGCAGGGAGGCGCUGCAGCUCUUCUCCAUGAUGCUGCGCCAAGGUGUUCGACCGGACGGCGCCGUGUUCCUGUCGUUGCUCUAUGCCUGCUGCCAUGCCGGGCAGGUGGACCAGGCGCUGCACCUCCUGGGCGCCAUGGGAAGGAUCUACGGGGUCGCGCCGCAGCGGGAGCACUACACGUGCGUGCUCGACGCCUGCGGCCGAGCCGGGAGGCUCGACGGAGUUGGAGAAAUAUUCAGGCGGAUGCCCGUGGAAUGCGAUCAGCAGGCACUUGGAGCUUACUGCUCCCAUGCAAGUGCGAGCAAGGCAAACGGAGUUGUUGCCGGCGAGCGGUUCCUCUGGAAGAGGUUUCUCGCCGGAGAAGUGGCCGCCGGACGGGACACGUGCGUGCUCAUGUCCAAGUCUCUGGCUGAUGCCGGGCGAUGGGACGACGUUUGUUCUGUCAGGGAGAGGGCUGCUGCAACAAGGAUCGACGAGACUGCUGCUUGCACUUGGAUUCAAGUGUAG
rnacentral:rRNA from 1 species